UUUCAUUAACAUUUAAUCAUGAAUAUAGCAAUUGUAUGUUUAUACAGUAUGUGCCACUAAUUUCAUGGAUAGGGGGCAGUUAGUUUUAUUUUCUAACAUGCGUUUGUAAACGAACCUUCUAUAUUACUAUAUUUCAGUGCUGGUAAUUCUGCAAACAACGAUCCUUUCGCUGUAAAUAACGAUCCAUUUGCCAGUAAUAAUGGCAUGAUGGACAUGAUGUUGUUAGGUGGAUUUGGAUUCGGUGGAGGACUGUUUGGGUUCUAAAAGUACGGCCUCAUGAUGUUUGAGGGUCUCGGUUUCGGAGGUGCUUUUUAAAAUCUUUCCAACAACUCACAGAAUGUACAGUCACAUAUAUUUUCAUUACUGUCAUAUACAAAACACAUAUUUAACAUGUGUAUACAUAUAGUUAUUUUAGAACUGAUUUAUUCAAUCUUGAAUUUUCGAAAUUGUAAAGUAAAUAUUGUAUUAAUAAUGAUGAUUGUGUUGAGUGAUAUCUCCCUUUAUAUGUCACCAUGGGAACGACUGAUUAUCAGUUUAUUGAUGAAAAGAUAAUGGAAGCAAGUUUUAUAAUAUUGAGUUUGUAUCAUAACAAUUAUAAUAUAAAUUAAGGAAC